rnacentral:lncRNA from 1 species
GGGGCAUGCAGGAGACAAGGUACUGAACAAAACAGCCCUGCAUAAAACCAGACUUUCAUUUAAAGGAAGAAAAAUGUUGCUGAAAGCUGCAAGAUUAUUAGCAUUACUAUGCAUGAGCAGCAGUCAAAAAAGGUGUUACAAGAGGAAGAGAGACAUUAUUCAAGUGUCUAAGAAGAUGGACCAUCAUCAGCAGUGGAGAGAGAAAAGCUUCCAAAGGAAUAGCAUAGCAUUUCAAACAUUAAAUUAUAAGGGGACUGAGGCUUUAAAAGAUGAAAGGCUUGCACGGAGAACGGUGCGCUGUGCAUUAGGAUCGGCAGAUAUCCUCUGGGAUCUGAACAGAGAAGAACUGUUUGAGAUGUGCACUCUAUGCUUGUCAAAGAGAAGUAAGUGCUGCAAUAAAAAGAGUAGUUGGAUAGCUAAACUCCCCUCAGUCUGGGUAGAAGGAAGACUUCACCUGUCUGCUAGAAGACCUGCCUAAUUUGAAAGUUCUUCUAGAAAGGGUUGUAAGGGUGAAUUAUCAUUUUUACUGUCAAUCAGUCCAGGGUCCUAGCUCAGGUCAGUGAUUUCCUGAAUGUUUAUUUAGCUUCAGGUUACCCUGCUUAAGCAGGGGGGCUUGAAACAGAUGAUCUCAGAGAUCCCAUCCAACCUCAAUCAUUCUGUGAUUUUGAUAUUUAGGUGUGCCAGAUUUACUAGUAGAAGUGAAACAAACUCAAGACGCCUUCUUCUGCUUCUGUUAGCACCAGGAGUGCUCUCCCAGCAGUCUCAAUGAGCUCUCUGGGUACCUUCACCUGGCUUUUCUCUUGUGCCUGGAAGUUCAGCAUUUGGCACCUUAUGUCCCAGUUGAGUCCAAUAUUUGAUGGGAUUUGCCAGCUAAUUUAAAAGCAGACUUGCAGCCACACACACGGCGGUCCAGGGAUGGCAAGAGGACUCCACACACAAAGUGUCAGCUGGCCCAAGCAAGCCUGUUCAGUUCCUAUGACAGUACCUGCUGCAAAACUCUCCAACUCUCCAGAAAAAGCAGGUAAUUCCUACAGAGACAUUUUUCUUACCCUGAAGCCUUGAUCGCUAUCAAACGUUUGUGGCCAGAGAUGAUGCUGGGGGCUGCAAAUGCUUUCCUGCAGAUGUGCAUCCCGUUUUACUUUGGCCUUGCUCACACCUCCUUAACAAUUGCUUUCUGGGGAUGUCUGAGUGAGUGAGGGCAAAGGCCUGGCCCCAUGCAGCUCUGCCAUCUCCCUCGAUGGAGGCAGUAUUUCAUCCAAGCAGCAGUGACAGAAACUGAAUGUUAGAGCUGCAUGCACAAGCUUUCACAGAAAUCAAUUCUCACACACCACAUUAAUAUUGGAAGUGAUUCUCUCUCACCUAAAUGUUGGCCAGGCACAAUAACCUGUGACUAAUGGCCAUUCAUAGUUAUACAGCACGACCUGAUAAUAAAAAUUUGCCAUUAGUCUCUAACAAAAAAAAAAAAAAAAUCUUCAGCUCAGGCUGUUAAUUGACCAACAUGUAUUCCUGAGGAAAUCAGAGCAAACAUGGAUAUUCAGUGCACAGAAAAGGAAUGUGCAGCUAGCUUAUGCAUUGCUUUUAUGAUUCAUCUGCUCUGAUCUGCUUCUGAUUAUUUUUUCCUCAUGUGAGGCUAGUAUUGUAAAUCAAAGA